AGAACAACUGAUUCUGCCCGACUGCAUUGAGAGAGAGUAGCUGUUUUGUCAAUAACUCAAAUAGCCAAGCUGUUGAAAGUAUUCUACACCUAGGACAUCAAGAGAAUCCCAAUUGACCGUGAAGUUGAGUUUUUCUUCUAUUUUUUUAAUGAGAUGCUCAAUUUUUUUAUGAGAUGCUUAUUUUGUCUACUGUGUGGAUGCAUGUGUUACCUAAUUCACUUUUGAUGGUGCUAAGUAGGCUAGCCUAUAACUUCGGUGGCAUUGAAGCUGUUUUACGUUGCUCAGCAGUAGAUCCGCACCGUUCCACCCACCACCCCAUGCAUCAGAUAUUUGGGAGAUUUUCCAUCACCACCAUGGCUGCUGCUUCUUGCUAAUGUACCAACUCAAUCCACAUUCUCGGGCGCACCGCUGCAUCUUUGCGAGACGGAUUAAUUUCCCAACGCCCAGGCGGCCGGCAGACGAACCUUGUUUAACUGACCCUGAUUGGUUGACGUGAACACGCACUGAUUGUAUGGAUGGUGUACAGUGAUACCUGUGAGGAUGGAACUACCAUUUCACCCCUGCUUCUAAAUAUUACAUUGGCUGAAGGCCCAGUGCUGGAAGAUAUCACAAAGAACUGCAAAAAAUCCUGUGUCUGGAUUACAUCUUCAAACUAAGGGCAACCAUGGCAUCCGUGACAGAGAG